CGAGGUGUUGCAUGGCUGUCGUCAGCUCGUGUCGUGAGAUGUUCGGUUAAGUCCGCUAACGAGCGCAACCCUCGCUGUAUGUUACAUGUGUCAUACAGGACCGCCGGUAUCAAGCCGGAGGAAGGUGGGGAUGACGUCAAGUCCGCAUGGCCUUUAUGUCCGGGGCUACACACACGCUACAAUGGUCGGUACAAUGGGUUGCUAAGCCGCGAGGUGGAGCCAAUCCCCCAAAGCCGGCCUCAGUUCAGAUUGCAGGCUGCAACUCGCCUGCAUGAAGCUGGAGUUGCUAGUAAACGCGCGUCAGCUAUAGUGCGUUGAAUACGUUCUCGGGCCUU
rnacentral:rRNA from 1 species